rnacentral:lncRNA from 1 species
AAGAAUCUUACAUUUAAACUUCUACAUUAGAUAGUCACAUAAACAUCCCACUCGAUGCCUUAGAUAUUAAAAAGAAUGUUUUGAUAUUCAUUACAAUUAAUAGGAUCAUCAAUUUAUAGUACAACGAUACUGCACUAAGCAACUACUAUAUUGUACAGCAAUAACAACAAUCAAGUCUCAUUCUUCUAAAUAGUGCCGGUUACAUAGAUCAAAUUUUGUUGUAAUGUUCUGUCCACUUCACACUAUGUCAUAGAGAUUCAACACAGUUUUACAUGGUAAACUAAUCAAAAAUUGACUUUCANCUUAAUUAUUCUAUAGUGCUGAAUUUUUCUUAUUCUAUUAAAUUAAGGCUGACCUUAAUUAUUCUAUAGUGCUGAUUUUUCAUAUCCUAAGAUAUAACUCUAAUACUCCCCCACAAGCUCAAGGUGGUUGCAAAGGCUGACUUGAGGCAGACAGGUUGAGCUUGCUGUUGAGCUCCAUAAAUCUUGAACUUGAGAGAGGCUUGGUGAGG